UUUCCGUAGGUGAACCAGCGGAGGGAUCAUUACCGAGUUUACAACUCCCAAACCCAAUGUGAACUAUACCUGUCUACCGUUGCUUCGGCGGGCUCGCCCGCCGAGGGACCGACAAAUAAACUCUUGUAUUUCUAUCUUUAGCAUGUCUGAGUGGAAUCAUAAACAAAUGAAUCAAAACUUUCAACAACGGAUCUCUUGGUUCUG
rnacentral:misc_RNA from 1 species